UGUACCUAUUCCCCAAACAGAAACAGAAGAAUAUAAGUUUUAGGAGGUGGGAAUAAAGAGAAGCAAAGUUGUCUGCUGGAACAAGAGACAAUUCACCAGAGAACUUAUUUUCUCCAAAACAUCAAAUGCAUUUCAAAGUGGAACACCACACUUUAUGAGAAAGUUUAUCACUGAAAAGCUUCAUGUAAAUGGAAUAUUUUUAAACGAUGCAAAGAAAAGAACUUUUCCAGGAAUCCUUCAGAGAGGCUGAUAAUCAGAUCCUAAUUAUCAAUGUUGUCAACGUGGAUUUGGGGGUGUUACUUAAAAGCAACAACAACAACAAAAUGCUCACUGGAAGGUACCUGUUUCACCAAUCAGUGCAGUCAACCCGGAUGUCUGUUGUUGCUCCUUUGACUUUCUGCAUUUGGUCAUUUCACUGUUAACUUUUACACCAGAGAGUAGAUGAAAGGAAAUGAAACUUAGUUUGAUUAUUUAUGAGGAACUGUGAUGAAAACUGUAGUUCCAGACAGAUCUACUGACCACAGCAGUUUUAGAAUUCUCCGAGGAUUUUGUUUGUUCUUUUUUUUCCUUUGUGCCUUUUCUUUCAAAUCAACCAGUUAAAGAUGAUACCCUUCAGUCUCUUGUGGCGUCAGUACAACUGUUUUUCUGCUAGUUCUCCCUCUCGUGACUAAAUGGUGUUCACAAGAAGCCAGUCAAUAAUCUUACCUGUUAUUUGUUCAGCAUAUGUACAGACUAACUGCACUUUACAGUUUCUUAGAACUGCUUUCUAUCAACACUCAGGAUAAUGAGAGAGAAAGGACCAAGCUUAUCCAAUCUGGAUUUUGUUUCUUUGCUGUCCUCUAGUGAUAUUAAAAGAUAUCAUAAAAUUCCUGGGAAAGGAGAAAUAACUGGAAAACUAAACAUUUACAUUUAUUCUAAUUUUUAAAGUAUGCAAGUAAAUUUCGUUGGGAGAAGUGAGCAGAGGGAGAUAACAAGUGGGGAAUAGAGACUGUGGAAAACAUCUGAUGAUAGAGUGAUGAAAUUCCAAAGGGGCUGGAAUUGCUCCUCUGGGCAUAGUGACCACCUGAACAGCUGCAGAUGUCUUUAACUGAAGCACUGUGCCUUUACUGAUAACUCGGUAGCAUAUAAACAUUUUUUUCCUUUAAUCAUUAGGUUGUUGAUUCCUGUGGAGGAUGAACAUAGUGGAUGCCUCACAUUUUCAGCACUGCUGUACAGUCUCAUUGGAUCUUCAUUAUGUGUCUGUAGAACAGAUGCUCUAUUUCACAGAGCAGGAAACUAUGGAUAAGCAGUUCAGCGCCUGUUCCAAGAUAAAUCAGCCAAUAAAUGGCAAGUCAACAGGAACCCAGCUCCUGUGAUAUCUUGUCUAACAGAUGCUUUACAGUCCUACAUGAACGCAGUCAUACCAGCACACACAGGCUCCAAAUGCCCUGUCUCACCUUACAUUCAUCUGAACAUGCUGUGGGGAUUAAGUCCUUGUGAAGUUCUAGCAUGUAACUUUUAGCAUAUGUAACUAUUUUUUAAAAAAUAAUUUCACUGAUAUUCUAAUUGCAUUCAAACAUCAUUUGCCUGGUUUUAUUUCUUUUUUCCAUAGUCCUUUAGCCCUUUGAGCAUAUUUAAGAUAACUGACUUAGAAGUCUAUCUAGUAAGUCUGAUGUCUGGCCUUCCUCAGGGACAGUUUCUGUUGAGGUAUUUUUUCCCUAUGAAUGGGCCCUACUUUCCUGUUUCUGUGUAUGCUUUGUGACUUUUUGUUGGAAACUGGACAUCUAAACAUUAUCAUGUGGUAACUAGAAUCAGGUUCUCCCCUGCCUCACAGUCUGCUGCUGUUGAUUGAUAGGGACUGUAGUCAUCCAUUUGUUUUGUGACCUUUCCAAACUAAUUUUGCAAAGACUAUUCCUCCUCUGGCGUGCUCACUGAUGUCUCUGUUCGGUUAUCUCAGGUGGUCAGCCAGUGACUUGUCAGAGAUUUCCUUGAAGGCCAAAACUCAGAUGUCCUCUUCUUCAUUAAGCAGUCCGCUGGUCCAUUAACAAGUGUGUUAGAAGCAACCUUUUAUAUACCUGAUGAAGUGCUCCUGCUGGUAAGACGAUGGCAUCACCAAGGAACUGAAUAAGAGUGCAGGCUUUGACUCCAUAUUCCUCAAGCAGUCUUUGGCGAAGCUUUUUGUUCACAUACCAACUCUGGUCACGAAUUGGAUCAUGUUCUGGUAGAACUUCAAGGCCUUGUUCUUUUGAAAUCUGAAAUAUAGAUUAAAAUGAAAAUAUAUACCCCAAUUUAAGUAAAGAAAAUGGUAAAUCCUGUUCAGUUAAAUUUCAGUUUUCUUUACAAUAACAGUCUGUUCUCAGAAUCUUCUGAAACGACGACUGAGCCUAAGUUACAGAAAAUGAUAUUCUACAAUUGGAAAAGCCAAAGGACAUGAAAACAAUAUUGCACACUGAUACGCUAUUAAUAAAGUAAAUCAUACUCCCUUACCUUCUUCCACUAUGAAGUUUUAUUAACUAUUAUUUAUUUCUUUUUCAGUCUUUUUUUUGGGGGGCUGCACCGUGCAACAUGUGGGAUCUUAGUUCCCUGACGAGGGAUCAGACUCGUGCCCCCUGCAGUCGGAAGCACAGAGCCCUAACCACUGGUACGACAGGGAAUUCUCUCUACUAUGAAGCUUUCAUCCAUUUGGUUCCUUACAAUUAUUUUAAGAGUAUAGCACAAAGACGGGGAAAAGCUUAGUUUAGUAACUUUUUUCCAAAAGCCAAACCAUUUGAAUGUGUGGACAUCAUAAACAUUCAUUCA